AAUUAGUUCGGACUAAGCCUACGCCUGGGCGUAAAUUUUUUUUUGCGAAACGGACCCCGGGCUUUUUGACCAAGCCGCCGUGGAAAAAUACCGUCACGUCCCUCACAAAGGGAGACGUCUUUGCUGAAAUGAUACAACACGCAAUUGCAGUGAUUGUUGCCUUUGUUGUGAUGGUUGCAUACGUACUGCAGAAUAAAAUCGAGGAUAUUGAAACAGAGUUGAGAGUCUUCAAUGAAAGGAAAAAUGCAAUAGAAACAAAAUGCGAGAAAGUUCUAGCAAAAGUAGAAGUAAUGGAAAUAUAUUUGAAGGACAUACUCGACACCAAAGCUAUGGAAACAGAUCUGAUGGCAAAACAAGAGUCAAAUCACCAGAGAUUAAUAUCAAUAGAAGAAGAAAAAUUGGCAAUACAAAAGAAACAUCUUGAAAUGGAUAAAGGAAAAAUGAAGCUCUUCGAUCAGUAUUUUCAUUUGAGAAAGAAAUCGUAUGAAGACAGUAAAGAAUCUAAAAGAGGAUUUUUUUGUUAACGAGGUUUCUCUAUCAAAGACUACUGUCAAAGAGUUUAGCAUUCGUAUGUACACAUAAACAUGUUACAAUUCAUUAUGUUAAUUGAAAAUAUAUUAUCAAUGUUUGAAAUAGUACUACAAACCAUAUACAUCAAAACACGAUUAUAACGAACUGACGCUAUCAAUGAAUUGAUUUUCAUCCCACGAAGGUUUUAAACAUAUUGUGAAGCUUACGGAUAUAACGAAUUAUGAUAAUAACAAAGCAUUAUCGCCCGUCCCUGGUACUUUAUUAUUAACGUGUUUUUAUCUGUAUGAUAUAAAUACAAAGGAUAACCAAUGUUACAACCUACAGUGUAUAUCAGUUGAACAUCUUACAUAUUUAAGUAUACUGUAAAUAAUGUCUUUUACAUGAAAUUGCACAACAUGAU
rnacentral:sRNA from 1 species